UGGAGUGUAGUGUGCUCUUGCUUGGUUGGAACAAAAACCAGCAGCCACAGCUGCUCAUUCUGGACUGGUUUGAGGGCCACUGCUUAAACUGAUCAGCUCUGCAACAGUAUAUCUAUAUCCAGAGAUCUUGGUCAAACAACAGUUGCAGUAUUGAUUGCAGGAAGUGGAGACAUGGCUGGACAUCUGCCUGCAGUCUGUGCAUUGAUCCUGAUUCUGGGUGCACUUGGGUGCUCGGAUGCAAAGUCAAUUGGAGGGGAAAAAGUUCACGUUGGCAUUUGCCCUCGUUCAGUCUAUGUCAACAAUCCACACUUGUGUGAUAUCAUCUCGUUCACCCGUUGCACCAAUGACCGUCAGUGCCACAAAUAUGAGAAAUGCUGCGACACUGGAUGUGGGCAUACGUGCGUGAAAGUGAUUGUCGAAACGAGACAACUGGCUGCUGUUCUGCAGUGAGCCCUGCUGAUUCAACAGUCUUCAGUCACACUGGAUUCUCCUUCCUUGGGUCUACUUUCAGGGUUUCUCUUAAUGCCAAAAUAUAACGAUUAAAAAUAAAAUGGUGAACUCAUAUUAUCGGAUAACUUUCAACUUAAUCAACUGUUUGUGCACUUUGGUACACAUUUGAUCACCUUUAUAAACAAAUUAUAAUCUUGAUAUGAUUGAUCCUUUGUCAAACCAGUGGUAACUGUUGCUCUGUCUCAAUCUCUUCUUUAUCAGCAAAUAAAAAUAAAUUGCAUCACAAAGUG